AACUUCUGAAUGUUGACCUCGGAUCAGGUAGGAAUACCCGCUGAACUUAAGCAUAUCAAUAAGCGGAGGAAAAGAAACCAACAGGGAUUGCCCUAGUAACGGCGAGUGAAGCGGCAACAGCUCAAAUUUGAAAUCUGGCUCUCGGGCCCGAGUUGUAAUUUGUAGAGGAUGCUUUUGAUGCGGUGCCUUCCGAGUUCCCUGGAACGGGACGCCAUAGAGGGUGAGAGCCCCGUCUGGUUGGAUGCCAAAUCUCUGUAAAGCUCCUUCGACGAGUCGAGUAGUUUGGGAAUGCUGCUCUAAAUGGGAGGUAUAUGUCUUCUAAAGCUAAAUACCGGCCAGAGACCGAUAGCGCACAAGUAGAGUGAUCGAAAGAUGAAAAGCACUUUGAAAAGAGAGUUAAAAAGUACGUGAAAUUGUUGAAAGGGAAGCGUUUAUGACCAGACUUGGGCUUGGUUAAUCAUCUGGGGUUCUCCCCAGUGCACUUUUCCAGUCCAGGCCAGCAUCAGUUUUCGCCGGGGGAUAAAGGCUUCGGGAAUGUGGCUCCCUCCGGGGAGUGUUAUAGCCCGUUGCGUAAUACCCUGGCGGGGACUGAGGUUCGCGCAUCUGCAAGGAUGCUGGCGUAAUGGUCAUCAACGACCCGUCU
rnacentral:rRNA from 3 species